rnacentral:lncRNA from 1 species
AGUAACUGGCAUUUGGUUAUGGGGUGGCUGUUUUUCUACGUGGACCAAGCAGGGUCCCAGUUCAAGUUUCUGCUGCCUAUCUGAUAAUCUUGAGGUAUUUAUGAAGGACUCCUUUGAAAGUUCUCUACUGAGUUUCCUUAAGGAAUUGGAAUAUGAGACCAAUUUGUUGAAUUGGACAGCUGGAAGCAAGGAAGGGAAAAAGUAUUUCACCGAAAAGGCAGAAGACUGGCAUCAAUUGCAAGCUGUGGAAUCAAGACAACUUUGGCUGAGUCCCAUUUUAUAUAGGACUAAAGGAGAGUGCAGUCCUCAAAGGCAAUAAUAUUUAUGAGAACAAAGAAGACUGUGGAGAAAUUUUAGGCAGUAGAAGAGAGCAGAAAGGCCAAGAGGAUCAGGGUUGAAGUAAGCUAUAUAGCAAAUCAGGCAUUGCCCAGUUACCUGGGAAUUACAUUCAGGCAAAGCAGAAAUACCUGAAGCUAGUUGCUUAUACAACCAAAUAUUGAGAAGUAAAGAUAUUUUCAUCUAGAACAAUCCUAAAAAUCACUCUUGUUUCUAAAAGGCCAAAGGUAGUGGGCAGGUAUACAAAGAAAGGGAUAUUUAUGAGAGAGGGCCUGACAUUUAAUCUAUUUAUGUAAGUGACAUCAAUACAUAUUGUCAAGCCUGGAUAUGACAUAAUUAAUCAUUAAUACAACCUAAUUGCAGAAGUUCUUUUUAAAAAUAGAGUUAUGUCUCAGAAUAAAGAAAGAUCCCUAGCUCCAA